GACGAACGCUGGCGGCGCGCCUAACACAUGCAAGUCGAACGAGCGAGAGAGAGCUUGCUUUCUCGAGCGAGUGGCGAACGGGUGAGUAACGCGUGAGGAACCUGCCUCAAAGAGGGGGACAACAGUUGGAAACGACUGCUAAUACCGCAUAAGCCCACGGCUCGGCAUCGAGCAGAGGGAAAAGGAGCAAUCCGCUUUGAGAUGGCCUCGCGUCCGAUUAGCUAGUUGGUGAGGUAAUGGCCCACCAAGGCGACGAUCGGUAGCCGGACUGAGAGGUUGAACGGCCACAUUGGGACUGAGACACGGCCCAGACUCCUACGGGAGGCAGCAGUGGGGAAUAUUGCACAAUGGGGGAAACCCUGAUGCAGCGACGCCGCGUGGAGGAAGAAGGUCUUCGGAUUGUAAACUCCUGUUGUUGAGGAAGAUAAUGACGGUACUCAACAAGGAAGUGACGGCUAACUACGUGCCAGCAGCCGCGGUAAAACGUAGGUCACAAGCGUUGUCCGGAAUUACUGGGUGUAAAGGGAGCGCAGGCGGGAAGACAAGUUGGAAGUGAAAUCCAUGGGCUCAACCCCAUGAACUGCUUUCAAAACUGUUUUUCUUGAGUAAUGCAGAGGUAGGCGGAAUUCCCGGGGUAGCGGUGGAAUGCGUAGAUAUCGGGAGGAACACCAGUGGCGAAGGCGGCCUACUGGGCACCAACUGACGCUGAGGCUCGAAAGUGUGGGUAGCAAACAGGAUUAGAUACCCUGGUAGUCCACACUGUAAACGAUGAUUACUAGGUGUUGGAGGACUGACCCCUUCAGUGCCGCAGUUAACACAAUAAGUAAUCCACCUGGGGAGUACCACCGCAAGGUUGAAACUCAAAGGAAUUGACGGGGGCCCGCACAAGCAGUGGAGUAUGUGGUUUAAUUCGACGCAACGCGAAGAACCUUACCAAGUCUUGACAUCCUGCGACGGACAUAGAAAUAUGUUUUUCCUUCGGGACGCAGAGACAGGUGGUGCAUGGUUGUCGUCAGCUCGUGUCGUGAGAUGUUGGGUUAAGUCCCGCAACGAGCGCAACCCUUAUGGUCAGUUACUACGCAAGAGGACUCUGGCCAGACUGCCGUUGACAAAACGGAGGAAGGUGGGGAUGACGUCAAAUCAUCAUGCCCUUUAUGACUUGGGCUACACACGUACUACAAUGGCGUUAAACAAAGAGAAGCAAGACCGCGAGGUGGAGCAAAACUCAGAAACAACGUCCCAGUUCGGACUGCAGGCUGCAACUCGCCUGCACGAAGUCGGAAUUGCUAGUAAUCGCAGAUCAGCAUGCUGCGGUGAAUACGUUCCCGGGCCUU
rnacentral:rRNA from 1 species